UCUUGCCACCAUAUCAUCCUGCAACUCACAACUGGCAACCCACUGAAGCUCAACAGGUGUGAGCCUGGUCAGUACCUGGAUGGGAGACCAUCUGGGAAGAAAACUGAGGUUACUGCAGGAA
rnacentral:rRNA from 1 species